CAGUGCGAUGAAAACGAGCCUGGAUUGAGGAGAGAGGAUUUUAGUGAUACGGCUUCUGAGAGCCAAUAAAAGAUAAUUGAAAUCAGUCUUUUCCAGACACUUUGGUUCAACAAAAUCGCGGACAGCAAAGAUGCAGUAACUUCACAAUUCCGAGCAGCAUUUCAAAAUCUCUCUAAUGAGUAUCAAGGAACUCUUACUGAAUUUUCAAUAGAGAAUUUUUCCGAAAAAUUCGCAAGUGAAAUAUUGGACAACUUCAAUCCAACUGAAAAUGUUUGAAAUGUGUGAGGCGAAUCGCCCUAAGGAUUUUAGCAAUGGAUAAACGGAUAUACUGUAUCGAAAAUUUAAAACACUUUAACAUCCUGUUGGUCGACUAGUUAUAUAAAUUAUUACUUUAAGUUAAUUUUUUAUUUCUAUUUAGGGGAUGUCGUAUGGAUGGAUUUUUAUCACUGGAAUGUGAAAGGAAGAGAAGAGAAGAAUAAAAUGAUGAAAUUUAUUGUCAAAACCGUUAAAAAAAAACAGUUGAGCAAGCCGAUGACGUGGUAUUUAAAAAUAAGGACGGUUUCUUCAGAAGAACAGAUCUGGAUGCAGAUUUCCGUAAGACCAAACUCCGUUUUUAACCACAAUUACUUCUAUUUCUGAAAAAGUAAUAUUAUCUGAAAAUGCUAUAAGAAAGUAACUAAUUUAUCUAUAUAAAACUAGCGUGAGUCCACUUUUGCGCCCGUGAAAUCAAAUCACGUUAAUACGCUCCCUUCUACUAGUCAGGACUUUACUAAGGCAAAUAAGAAAAAAAUGCUUGUUAGAUUUAAAUUUAAUUUACUUUAGAAAUUGAAGAGUGUUUCCACUCGCUACGACAUUUUGAGAAAAAAGCACGAUAAGAACAUGGAAGAGUUGGCAGAUCUCCAGAAAACAAUGGAUCGCCUGCUUGCAUACGAAUUAAAACGAGAUAGGAAAAUUGCAGGUCUUAAGACAAUAUAAAACGGAGUUUAGCUGAAGAAAUGGGACAAAACUCAAAAUUCAAACGAAAUUUUUCUGUAAUGUUAUAUAAAUGUAUAAUGUAAAUUUCCCCUUCUAGACAAACUGGUGACACCCCUUUUCUUCUUCCCUCGCCCACUUAUGGCAAUCCGUUUUACCACCAAAAAUUUUUUUUUCCCUUUUUUUAUUUUGUUGCGGCCCCUCGCCUGAUUAUCUUCGUUCUGUUGUUGUUUUGGUGCCAGAUUUUCCGAGGAGUGCCGCUUGGCUGGACGCUGGAUUGAAUUAAAGUUAAUUCGUGAUACGGCUUUCGGUGCUAUUGGAGUGAAAUGGAUAAUAGUGAGGUGCUUCUGGUAGACUUUGGCCGUGGUGGCUGCGUUUUUUUCUUUUUAUCUGUUUUUUUUUCUUUAUAUGUGUGACGACUUGCUGAGGUGGACUUGUGUGACGACUGUUGUUCGUUGGUGACAGCUUUUGAUUAAAUUUUUAAUUUUUUAAUUUUUUUCUAGCAGGAGAAGUUGAGAUCUUUCAGAUCGGAAGGAAGAAUUGGAGGGUUAUAAUUUUGAUUAGGCAUGUCAAUUGCUGAUAACAUGAUCCGUGUUGGUAAGUUGCGGGUUACCUUUUCAAAUUUUUUACAGCAGGAAGUGAGUGGUAUGGAGAUUCCACUCCGUCCGGUCUGGUUGCAUUCACACAACCGAAAAAAGUGUCUGGUCUCCGGUCUUUUGCAGAGACGCACGUAUGCGUUA
rnacentral:lncRNA from 1 species